rnacentral:rRNA from 4 species
GCUGGUGGCGAUAGCGAAGAGGUCACACCCGUUCCCAUGCCGAACACGGAAGUUAAGCUCUUCAGCGCCGAUGGUAGUCGGGGGUUUCCCCCUGUGAGAGUAGGACGCCGCCAGCC